UACGUAGGCAGCGAGCGUUGUUCGGAGUUACUGGGCGUAACGGGUGUGUAGGCGGUUGUUUACGUUUGGUGUGAAAUCUCCCGGCUCAACUGGGAGGGUGCGCCGAAUACUGAAUGACUUGGAGUGCGGGAGAGGAAAGUGGAAUUCCUGGUGUAGCGGUGAAAUGCGUAGAUAUCAGGAGGAACACCGGUGGUGUAGACGGCUUUCUGGACCGUAACUGACGCUGAGACACGAAAGCGUGGGUAGCAAACAGG
rnacentral:rRNA from 1 species